rnacentral:rRNA from 1 species
GACGAAGGUGGCAAGCGUUGCUCGGAAUCACUGGGCAUAAAGCGCGCGUAGGUGGCUUGAUAAGUCGAUGGUGAAAUCCCAUGGCUCAACCAUGGAACUGCCAGCGAUACUGUCAGACUAGAGUGCGGUAGGGGAGACUGGAAUUCCUGGUGUAGCGGUGAAAUGCGCAGAUAUCAGGAGGAACACCGAUGGCGAAGGCAGGUCUCUGGGCCAUAACUGACGCUGAGAAGCGAAAGCAUGGGGAGCGAACAGG